rnacentral:rRNA from 1 species
UACGUAGGCAGCGAGCGUUGUUCGGAGUUACUGGGCGUAAAGGGUGUGUAGGCGGUUGUUUAAGUUUGGGGUGAAAUCUCCCGGCUCAACUGGGAGGGUGCGCCGAAUACUGAAUGACUAGAGUGCGGGAGAGGAAAGUGGAAUUCCUGGUGUAGCGGUGAAAUGCGUAGAUAUCAGGAGGAACAUCGGUGGUGUAGACGGCUUUCUGGACCGUAACUGACGCUGAGACACGAAAGCGUGGGUAGCAAACAGG